CAAAGCCUAUUUGUCUCCUCAGUUUGGUUUGUGACCUCCACGUAUAGCUUAGGCGCCACUGCAAGUCGGUAGUUGAUGGUGAUGGAUGUGAGCCCUCUGCUUUAAGACGAAGAAGAACCCAAACCACCAGCAGUCCUCAGCUCAGCUGGCAAGCGAGCGAGAGUGGAAUUGUCAGUAGUUGGAAAGCGGAUUACGAAAUUGACAGACAACAAUAAAGGCUGAUUUCUGGAACAAAGAACUGAUAUCUCAAAACGGGUCCGGGUUUCGUGUUUCUGUAUUUGGCGUUUCGUUCUGGGUUUUAGAAUUUGAGGAGUCGUUUCCACCGCUGGCAUGUCAUUGCUUCGCAAAUUGUUCCACCGGAAGCCGCCGGAUGGGCUCCUUGAGAUCUCUGAAAGAGUUUAUGUUUUUGAUUGUUGCUUUACUACUGAUGCUUUGGGAGAAGAAGACUUUAAAGUUUAUGUAGGAGGCAUAAUCAGCCAACUUCGAGAUCACUGCUCUGAUGCUUCAUUCUUGGUGUUCAAUUUCCGCGAGGAGGGGACAGAGAGUCAAACUGCUAAUGUUUUUUCCGAGUAUGAUAUGACUGUAAUGGACUACCCUCGACAAUAUGAAGGUUGCCCAUUACUAACAAUAGAGGUGAUACAUCAUUUUCUGAGAUCAUGUGAAAGCUGGCUUUCUCUUGGUCAGCAUAACGUGUUAUUAAUGCACUGUGAACGUGGCGGUUGGCCAGUUUUGGCAUUUAUACUGGCUGCACUAUUAAUUUAUAGGAAGCUGUACACAGGAGAGCAGAAAACACUGGAUAUGAUAUACAAGCAGGCUCCUCGUGAGUUGUUGCAGUUGCUUUCGCCACUGAAUCCUCUCCCUUCUCAAUUAAGAUAUUUACAGUAUGUCUCAAGGAGAAAUGUGGCCACAGAAUGGCCACCGUUGGACAGGGCACUCACCUUUGACUGCAUCAUGAUCAGAUUUAUUCCUAAUUUUGAUGGAGAGGGAGGUUGUCGUCCAAUAUUUCGGAUAUAUGGACAGGAUCCUUUUCUUGAAGCUGAUCGUACUCCCAAAGUUUUGUUCUCAACUCAAAAAAAGAGCAAAGCUGUCCGGCUCUACAAGCAGGCAGAAAGUGAAGUUGUUAAAAUUGACAUCGGUUGUCAUGUUCAAGGUGAUGUUGUACUUGAGUGUAUUAACUUGCAUGAUGACAUGGCACGGGAAGAGAUGAUGUUUCGAGUCAUGUUUAACACAGCUUUUAUUCGAUCAAACAUCUUAAUUCUUAAUCGAGAUGAGAUUGACAUGUUGUGGCAUGCUAAAGAUCAAUUUCCGAAAGACUUCCGAGCAGAGGUUCUUUUUUCGGAAAUGGAUUCUGCUGCUGCUUCCUUAGUUACCCCAAACUUGUCUUGUUUUGAUGAGGAAGGUCUUCCGAUGGAAGCGUUUGCUAAAGUACAAGAGAUAUUUCAGAAUGUGGAUUGGCUAGACCCAAAGGCAGAUGCUGCACUCAAUGUGCUCCAACAAAUAACUGCUUCAAAUAUUGUCCAUGAGGACACUGAUUCCCACUUGGUUGAUGAACUGAGGAGUUCACUUCAGGAAUUAAAACCUCAAAAGCUCCAUGAAAAAAAGCACUCUGCAGCAUUGGAACAUCACAAUGAGAUUUCUGCAUUGAUGUCUUUAGAGAAUCUUCCUCUUCCUUCACCAAAACUAUCUCCAAAUGCAGAUGCGAAUGACAGGAAGUCUAUCACCCAAGAUGUCCAAGUUGCACAGGAACAACCUAUUCAGUCGGAUGUCAUAGGUCGUUGGACACUUGAGUCUUCUCUUGUAAAUCCAGCUAGUUGUAAUUCUGUGCAAGUUUCAUCUGUACCAGUGCCAAGAGAGGGUAUUGCAUCUGCAGAUCUUGGCAUUUCCCAUCCCAUGCAUGAUCAUGCCUCAUUAGAAAGUGCAAAGUUCACUUAUCCAGUGACAGCAUCUCCAGCACUCCUGGCUCCAACCCUAGAUGGUUCAUGCACACCAAAAUCUGCAGAAACUGGAGAUAUAUCUAUAUUGCCACCUCCACCACCACCUUCUCCGCAACAGCCUUCCUUGACUGCUAGUGCUGCAAGUCUUCAUGCUACUACAACUCCUGCUCCACCACCACCACCACCCCCACCACCUCAACAUAAUCUUUCAGCUACAAAACCUCAGCAAUUUUCAGUUAGCAAACAGCCUGAAGCAUAUUUACAAAGUGGAAAUCAGCCAUCACUAGUUUCUUGCAAACCUCUACAUGGGACACUCCUUUUAGGAACAAAUGCUAGUGAUUCAUCGUCUCAUCUCCCUUCCUCCCCUCCUGGACUUAAGCUUGCUACAUCAACUCCACCAGCGCCUCCAACUCCACCACCGCCUCCAACUCCACCUUUGAAGGAGACCCGCUCUGUUAGAGCUGGGCCUCCUCCACCUCCACCUCCUCCUCGUCCUUCUGGUGAAGCUGCUAGUCCUACAGUUUCAUCUUUGGUACGUCCACCACCACCACCACCUGCUCCCCCUACUCCCUCAUCCGUGCCUUCUGCCCCCCCUCCUCCCUCAUCCAUGCCUUCUGCUCCCCCUCCUCCCUCAUCUGUGCCUUCUGCUCCCCCUCCUCCAGUGCCUUUUGAUAAAGGAUUUCCUAAAACAGGUGUUGUCUCACCAGGUCUUCUUUCUGCUGGUAGUAAUAAAGAUAGUAGUAUUUCUGGAACUUCAACCCCCAGGCCACCACUUGUUUCUCCAUCUAGUGCAAAGGGGCGAAUUUUGUCACGCACUAUAAGUUCAAGGAAUCAUCAUACAAAGAAACUGAAGCCAUUGCAUUGGUUAAAAUUAACGAGAGCAGUACAAGGAAGCUUAUGGGCAGAGGCACAAAAAUCUGGUGAAGCUACCAAGGCUCCAGAGAUUGACAUGUCCGAACUUGAGAGUCUUUUUGCAGCAGCAAUACCAAAUUCAGAACAUGGGAAGUCUGGUGGGAAAUCAACUCUGCAUGGUUCCCUUGGGCAUAAGUCUGACAAAGUUCAACUGAUUGAUCAUAGGCGGGCAUAUAAUUGUGAAAUCAUGCUUUCAAAGGUGAAGAUGCCGCUGCAUGAGUUGAUGGGUUCAGUGCUUUCUUUGGAAGAAUCAGCAUUAGACAUUGAUCAGGUUGAUAAUCUCAUAAAGUUCUGUCCAACAAAGGAAGAGAUCGAACUACUCAAGGGCUACAAUGGGGACAAGGACAAGUUGGGAAAAUGUGAACAGUUCUUUUUAGAGUUGAUGCAAGUACCAAGAGCAGAAUCUAAGCUCAGAGUUUUCUCAUUUAAAAUACAAUUCUGCUCGCAGGUUUCUGACCUUAGAAAUAAUCUGAAUACUGUAAAUGCUGCAGCAGAAGAGAUAAGAAAUUCUCUCAAACUUAAGAGAGUUAUGCAGACAAUUCUUUCUCUGGGAAAUGCUUUGAACCAGGGAACUGCAAGGGGCUCUGCUAUUGGAUUCAGAUUGGAUAGCCUUCUUAAGCUCACUGAUAUGCGUGCCCGAAACAAGAAGAUGACUCUCAUGCAUUAUCUUUGUAAGGUACUUGCUGAUAAACUACCAGAACUUAUAGAUUUUUCAAAAGACCUUAUCAGCCUGGAGCCUGCAUCAAAGAUUCAAUUGAAAGUUUUGGCAGAGGAAAUGCAAGCUAUUAGCAAGGGACUAGAGAAAGUCAUUCAGGAAUUGUCCAUAUCUGAAAAUGAUGGUCAGGUGUCAGAAAAUUUUUGUAAGGCUUUAAAGGAAUUUCUUCGAUUUGCUGAAGCAGAAGUGAGGUCUUUGGCUUCACUUUAUUCUGGUGUGGGAAGAAACGUUGAUGCAUUGAUUCUUUAUUUUGGUGAAGAUCCAUCUCGCUGCACAUUUGAACAAGUUGUUUCUACUCUGCUCAACUUUGUGAGGAUGUUCAGCCGUGCUCACGAGGAAAACUGCAAGCAGCUUGAGCUUGAAAAGAAGAAAGCGGAGAAGGAAGCAGAAGUUGAAAAAUUGAAGAUGGGUGUUUCACAGGAGCGUGAAAACAUUUCACACUCCUGUCGAUAGUAGUAAAUCAAACUUCACAGUUUUGAGCAUAAACCAUCUCCAUGCAAAACGAGUAAAUGGUAAUAAUACAUACUCCGCCAGUCAAAAACAUCUGGUGCGAGAAAUGCAAUUGAUCUUGGUGGUGGUUGAGAUUAGAAUGUACAUAAAUCCACAGGAAUAAAUUUGAAUUGUAGAUAUAGAGUUGUAAAUUGACUCAAUUUGCAGCAAACGACAAGGUUAAGUCUUUAUCUUGAGAUAGACGUGGGAAUUGGCACCAUUUUCUUCUUGGACAGGCAGCUACUCUUAUCAACUUGACGAGUAUCCUUCAUCAUCUUCAAGAACAUUAGAGAGAGAGACUAUUCAAAUAAAGGUUUAGAAUUACCGUGAGAUUAUUUUUUAUUCUUUUUUUUAUUUGUGUUUAAUUUGUUCCUUUCUUUUGCAGUCCACUUUUCCUUCCUUUCUUUUUUUUUGCAUGGAUUCCUUCUGUUUCCUCUAAAAUACCAUUGGGGAUGUAAAUUCUAUCUUCACCUUCUCUAGGGCAAUAUUUCCCCUCUUCAUUUUUUGAAGUGACCGUAAUUUAAGCAGCUCAAUAUCUAUUUUAUUUGAAAUUAUUGAAAUAAAACAAGGGUAUAGAGCAA